rnacentral:lncRNA from 1 species
GAGUGUCCUGUGGGAUGGAGACUCGGGGUGGACUGCCUGGCUGUGCGCUGUGGAGCGUGGUAGACCCAGUAAGACUUGGUCCCUACGCUAUGACAGAUGUCCUCGGAGUUCCCAGCACUGGGGCUUCUGCUGGGGAGGCUCAUCCUUCGUAUUGGGGAUCCUGACAAGGAGAUUGGCUGGGAGGCUCUGGACGGCAUCACCCUCCUCUACACCAUCCUGGAGUUCCAAAAACGAGCCAGAGAUAAGGAAGAGACCAACAAGAAGGAGCUGUAUGAGAGCAACAAGCGCUUCCUGGGGCCCCACAACCCUGUCAACCCACGCCAGAACAUCUUGCGUGUGAUUUUGGUGACCGCAGGGACAGCUGGCUGCCGCUCGGCUGGCCUCCCUGGGCGGGGAGGGAGGCGGGGCAGUGCCACCAGCCCCCUGCUCCCCGACCAGCUCUCCGACUGGCCCCGCCCUUUGGGAGAGGCCUUUCCUCCCCACAGGAGCUGUCCGCAGCCGCUGCCUCCUGUGUACAGCCCGUGGGCCAUGCCUCCCUUCUCCGUGAUGCGUGCCUCCCAGUCCUGGGUACAGGGACCUUGCUGCCCCUCGUCUUGUGGCUCCUCCCUCGGGGACUCAAUGUUCAUGGAUGAGGAUUUUUGGAGACUUCUUGGGCCCCCAGCAGGUGAAGGACCUGCUGCUGGCAGCCGUGGAAGGGCUGAGUGGCGGCGUGGAGGCUCAGGGGAAGGACUCCGGGGAGACGAUGCAGCUGCCCUCAGAGGUCAUGCUCAACUCCGUGCUGAGGUGGUACCACCUCAGAACACUGGUGGUGGUAAGGCGGGGCACCAGCUGCUCUCCCGGGCAGCCCUGAGAACUCAGCUGAGUUGGGGGCGGGCAGAGAAGAGGAACCCCUCACUCCCAAGAGCAGCACCCCUGUGCCUGCCCUGGCCCUCUCUCCUACCCGGUCCUCUCUCCUACCUCCACCUUCCUUCCUUCUCCUACCUUCGGCUUCUCCAAUGA